rnacentral:rRNA from 1 species
AGUGAACGCUGGCGGUAGGCCUAACACAUGCAAGUCGAACGGCAGCACAGUAAGAGCUUGCUCUUACGGGUGGCGAGUGGCGGACGGGUGAGGAAUACAUCGGAAUCUACUUUUUCGUGGGGGAUAACGUAGGGAAACUUACGCUAAUACCGCAUACGACCUACGGGUGAAAGCAGGGGAUCUUCGGACCUUGCGCGAUUGAAUGAGCCGAUGUCGGAUUAGCUAGUUGGCGGGGUAAAGGCUCACCAAGGCGACGAUCCGUAGCUGGUCUGAGAGGAUGAUCAGCCACACUGGAACUGAGACACGGUCCAGACUCCUACGGGAGGCAGCAGUGGGGAAUAUUGGACAAUGGGCGCAAGCCUGAUCCAGCCAUACCGCGUGGGUGAAGAAGGUCUUCGGGUUGUAAAGCCCUUUUGUUGGGAAAGAAAAGCAGCAGGUUAAUACCCCGCUGUUCUGACGGUACCCAAAGAAUAAGCACCGGCUAACUUCGUG